rnacentral:misc_RNA from 1 species
CAAGAGUACGCCGCCACCGUCGCUCGUCCUUCUUCCGCUCCCUCGCCCUCAAGAGUGUCAGGAAAGGUCUGAGCGUGAGGAUCGGUUUUUGAAGCGCGAACGCAUGUCCCGCCAACCCUCACGCAGCUCAUCGCCCGGUACGGCCUUGCCCAGCGAGGCCACGGUAACCACUGCAUCUCAGCUACCGAGUUACCCGUCCGCUUCGCGGUCAUGCCAGAAAGUCGAUGAGCCCGGUGCGUUCCUGCUCUUGAACGGCUUUGUAUGCCGAACGGCGGACGCCAGCGGCCGAUUUCGCCCGGUGGAAGUAUUUUCUGGCGUUUAUCGCGAGGCCGCGACGGCACCUCCCACGAUGCCAUCGGCGAACGCGCACUUCAGUUUGUCCGCCGGCUCAGCGGAGGAGACGAGGCGUUCCAUCGACUCGGACUGUCCCCUCUUCAACUGCUUCGGCGUGCUCAGUGGUGGUGUCAUCAUCGACCCGAUCGACGGGUCGUUUGUGGAGUUCACCGACGCGGCGGUGUACACACCUAGCACUGUCGCCGCGCCAGUCGGCAGCGGGAACGACAUUCAGGACGACCUCGCACGUUGCACUCUGCAGCAGGCAAACGAACAAGCCUUUCGUACCGGUGAGGCACAUCUCAUUCGGCCGGAGUGCCCGCUGAUACUGUGCACCUCGGAGCUGCCUCUGCCCCCCAGGUCCUCUGAUCCGCCGCUGAAGCGCUUUAAAUGUUGCUCAAGUCCCUUCAGCGCCGCGGGAGGCGCAGGGCCCACGGUCACAUCGGCGCGUCACGCAGCACAGAUGGGGAUGGAGAACGUCGAGAAGUGGCUGAAGCGGUUGGCGCCGCAUCCGGGUCACAGACCACAGUCGCCGAGGCGGCAAGCGUGGACGACAGUGUGGGCGGAUGCCGAGGAGUUUCGGCUUUCCAUGCGGGCACACAGCGACGUGCGCGCCAGCGAGGCGUCUCUCUAUUUGCCACCGCGCAUUCCGUUUCCACUGCGCUUCCGUGGCCAGCCAAUUUCGCUCAUGGAAGAAAAAACGAAUGAAUCACCCACCGCCAGCCAGCAGCAGCAGCCGGAUCGCGAGGUGAGCAGCGCGACCGCGGUUCCACCGGACGGUGUGCGCUGCGCCGCCGCCUCCUUUACGUGCUACACAGGUGUUCCCCGUUUCGCCUCAGCAACGGACACCGCGCCACGUUUCGACUUGGCGGAGUUCGCGAAGGGCACGGCAGUCGCCCGGCUGCGAAAGCGACUGCGCCCGUACUGCGAGACGGCGUCGCUGGGGCGGCGCCGAGCCUCCGACGACUACGACGAGGAGGACAAGGAAAGGUUCUUAAUCCCCUUUACCGACUCCACGCCUCGCCAUGCUGCGUUUGCCCUUUUCCUGUUGUACUUCAACCAUUUAGGUGUCCUCUGCAAUGGCGUGCGCGUUACAGGAGAGACGGCGGCCUCAUCGUGUCUUGACGGACUCGACGUGGGGAGCACAACGUGGAGCCUUUGCCCCAAAUACCUGUACGACGUCCGCGCCGAGGUCGAGCGAAAGCGGCGCGUGACGCGAGAGCUGAGGGAACGUCCUGAGAGGACCUUCGCUGGCGGCACGCGCUGGAGCACCACCGCGAGGAACCGCGACGCGGUCGCGGCGGCGUGGACAGCGCUGCUACUUUCGUCGCGAACGGCCUUGCUGGAGCGCAUUACGGAGCUCAACCGACACAUACACAAGCUCCACGACGAAAAGCAGCGUCGGCGGCACGCCGAUGACCAGGAGAACCAGUGACAGUGGCGCGUCGAAUAAUGACAGGAAGAAGACCGCGGCUUGUGAGUCAUUGUCAACCUCCAUCUCUCCUCCCUCGUCCGGGUACGCUGCUGAGCACCAAGGCGACUGGGGGUGGGGGGCUUGUGGAGCGCCCCCGCCACAGAAUGUUGUGAGGCACCUCUCGAUGCAGCUGCGCCCACACUGUCGAAAGGAGAAGGAAAAAUGGUACAACCUGAGAAACCAGAUCACGACGUAGAACGUCUUGUGAGGCGUACUGCCUCCCGUAUGCGAAACGUGGUCGCGAAUGAAUGCGAGCAUCGUUUCCAGAUGUUAUGCGCACUCUGUCGUUCUGCCCUGCAGAUGAUGGUUCCUCGUGCGACACGAAGGGCGGUUCAUGAUGCCUACGCUCUCCCUCUCUCCCCCUCUCCCCCGGCAUCGACGAACGCCCACAACGACGCAUAUGCUGCGCUUGAUGCAUCCUCUCGGCUCUGCGCGAUUGGUGUCCUCGUGAAUCUGCCUCCCUCUUCGCUUGUCCGCUCCCUGCAUGGGUAUGGAUGUGACGCGCUCUGCUCUUGAGCAG